AUGAACGCUGGCGGCGUGCCUAAUACAUGCAAGUCGAGCGAACGGACGAGAAGCUUGCUUCUCUGAUGUUAGCGGCGGACGGGUGAGUAACACGUGGAUAACCUACCUAUAAGACUGGGAUAACUUCGGGAAACCGUAGCUAAUACCGGAUAAUAUUUUGAACCGCAUGGUUCAAAAGUGAAAGACGGUCUUGCUGUCUCUUAUAGAUGGAUCCGCGCUGCAUUAGCUAGUUGGUAAGGUAACGGCUUACCAAGGCAACGAUGCAUAGCCGACCUGAGAGGGUGAUCGGCCACACUGGAACUGAGACACGGUCCAGACUCCUACGGGAGGCAGCAGUAGGGAAUCUUCCGCAAUGGGCGAAAGCCUGACGGAGCAACGCCGCGUGAGUGAUGAAGGUCUUCGGAUCGUAAAACUCUGUUAUUAGGGAAGAACAUAUGUGUAAGUAACUGUGCACAUCUUGACGGUACCUAAUCAGAAAGCCACGGCUAACUACGUG
rnacentral:rRNA from 1 species